rnacentral:rRNA from 1 species
UACGUAGGGUGCAAGCGUUUGUUCGGAGUUACUGGGCGUAAAGGGUGCGUAGGCGGUUGUUUAAGUUUGGUGUGAAAUCUCCCGGCUCAACUGGGAGGGUGCGCCGAAUACUGAAUGACUAGAGUGCGGGAGAGGAGAGUGGAAUUCCUGGUGUAGCGGUGAAAUGCGUAGAUAUCAGGAGGAACACCGGUGGUGUAGACGGCUCUCUGGACCGUAACUGACGCUGAGGCACGAAAGCGUGGGUAGCAAACAGG